GACAGAGGAGCCAAGCGUUGUCCGGAUUGACUGGGCGUAAAGCGCACGCAGGCGGCCGUGCACGUGGGGUGUGAAAGCUGGCGGCUUAACUGCCAGACGCCACCUCAUACGGCACGGCUCGAGCCCGUGAGAGGUCCACGGAAUUGCCGGUGUAGUGGUGAAAUGCGUAGAGAUCGGCAGGAACACCCAGGGGGAAACCAAUGGACUGGCACGGUGCUGACGCUCAGGUGCGAAAGCGUGGGGAGCGAACCGG
rnacentral:rRNA from 1 species